rnacentral:rRNA from 1 species
CUUUGAUUCAACGCUUUAUAGCCAUUUUUGGUAAAGACCGUAUUGUGAAUG